GACGAACGCUGGCGGCGUGCUUAACACAUGCAAGUCAAACGGAAAGGCCCCUUUUGGGGUACUCGAGUGGCGAACGGGGGAGUAACACGUGUGUAACCUGCCCUUGACUUCGGGGUAACUUCAGGAAACUGGGGCUAAUACCGGAUAGGAAUCCUUGCUGCAUGGUGGGGGUUGUAAAGCUUCGGCGGUUUUGGAUGGACUCGCGGCGUAUCAGCUUGUUGGUGGGGUAGUGGCUUACCAAGGCUUUGACGGGUAGCCGGACUGAGAGGGUGAGCGGCCAUAUUGGGACUGAGAGACGGCCCAGACGCCUACGGGAGGCAGCAGUGGGGAAUAUUGCACAAUGGGCGGAAGCCUGAUGCAGCAGCGCCGCGUGCGGGAUGACGGCCUUCGGGUUGUAAACCGCUUGCAGCAGGGGCGAAGCUUGUGGUGACGGUACCUGCAGAAGAAGCACCGGCUAACUACGUG
rnacentral:rRNA from 1 species